rnacentral:rRNA from 1 species
UUGAAAGGGAAACGAUUGAAGUCAGUCGUACUUGCGGGUAAUCAGCCUUUUGGGUGCGAUUCUGUGGAGCGUGGGGAGUUAAACGCCUUCAUGCCUGCAUAUUCGUGCACUUUGGGUGUACUUGCCCGUGUGUAGGUUAACAUCAAUUUUGAUCAUCAUAAAAUGGCUGGAGGAAUGUAGCUUCGAUCUUGUAUUGAAGUGUUAUAGCCUUCGGCAGAUGUGAUGGUUGGGAUUGAGGAUUGCAACGGAUACUCUUCGGGGCUACCUGUCUGAUCUCUGAUCGUUGCUCUGGUGUCGAAAGCUUGCUUACGGUCAUCAAAGUCGAUGGUCAACAGGCUAGAACGGGUUAAAUUCGUUAAGGAUGUUGACGUA